GAGCACGUAGGUGGGUUUGUAAGUCAGAUGUGAAAGCCUUCUGUUCAACGGAAGAAUUGCAUCCGAAACUGCAAAUCUUGAGUAUAGGAGGGGAGAAUGGAACUUCUGGUGGAGCGGUGAAAUGCGUAGAUAUCAGAAGGAACGCCGGCGGCGAAAGCGAUUCUCUGGCCUAUUACUGACACUGAGUGUGCGAAAGCUAGGGGAGCAAACGGGAUUAGAUACCCCGGUAGUCCUAGCCGUAAACGAUGGGCACUAAGUAGAGGGGU
rnacentral:rRNA from 1 species